UUACUCUUCACGAUGGUAGCGUCAGACUGCUCAGUGUAAAACGAUUUGUGCCCUCGCACGAAGAAGGUUGCAGCACGUUUAGGGGCAUCUCGACGGCAGCCACGCUGACGGAAACCUGGUCCCAGUACUCGGGAAAAUUCAUACAUGUGCCAGCGGCUGACCAGGAGGCCCUUGACUCGGAUGUGCACAUUGCAGAUAGACCCAAUACCACCUUCAAAGUUACCAAGCGAAUUGUAAUGGACACAUGCCGGCCG